AUUGAACGCUGGCGGCAGGCCUAACACAUGCAAGUCGAGCGGUAGAGAGGUGCUUGCAUCUCUUGAGAGCGGCGGACGGGUGAGUAAUGCCUAGGAAUCUGCCUAGUGGUGGGGGAUAACGUUCGGAAACGGACGCUAAUACCGCAUACGUCCUACGGGAGAAAGCGGGGGGAUCUUCGGACCUCGCGCCAUUAGAUGAGCCUAGGUCGGAUUAGCUAGUUGGUGAGGUAAUGGCUCACCAAGGCGACGAUCCGUAACUGGUCUGAGAGGAUGAUCAGUCACACUGGAACUGAGACACGGUCCAGACUCCUACGGGAGGCAGCAGUGGGGAAUAUUGGACAAUGGGCGAAGACCUGAUCCAGCCAUGCCGCGUGUGUGAAGAAGGUCUUCGGAUUGUAAGACACUUUAAGUUGGGUAGGAAGGGUAGGUAACC
rnacentral:rRNA from 1 species